AUUUAUGUCAAUUUUUAACAAGGAUGCGUUAUCGAGCUUUUUUGGCUUAUCUGGCGAAGAAGAUGAUUAUUAUGAUAACUACGAAGAAUAUGAAGAGCGCAAAGCAACGCCGCGUGAGUGAAGAAGGUUUUCGGAUCGUAAAACUCUGUUGUUAGAGAAGAACAAGGACGUUAGUAACUGAACGUCCCCUGACGGUAUCUAACCAGAAAGCCACGGCUAACUACGUGCCAGCAGCCGCGGUAAUACGUAGGUGGCAAGCGUUGUCCGGAUUUAUUGGGCGUAAAGCGAGCGCAGGCGGUUUCUUAAGUCUGAUGUGAAAGCCCCCGGCUCAACCGGGGAGGGUCAUUGGAAACUGGGAGACUUGAGUGCAGAAGAGGAGAGUGGAAUUCCAUGUGUAGCGGUGAAAUGCGUAGAUAUAUGGAGGAACACCAGUGGCGAAGGCGGCUCUCUGGUCUGUAACUGACGCUGAGGCUCGAAAGCGUGGGGAGCAAACAGGAUUAGAUACCCUGGUAGUCCACGCCGUAAACGAUGAGUGCUAAGUGUUGGAGGGUUUCCGCCCUUCAGUGCUGCAGCAAACGCAUUAAGCACUCCGCCUGGGGAGUACGACCGCAAGGUUGAAACUCAAAGGAAUUGACGGGGGCCCGCACAAGCGGUGGAGCAUGUGGUUUAAUUCGAAGCAACGCGAAGAACCUUACCAGGUCUUGACAUCCUUUGACCACUCUAGAGAUAGAGCUUUCCCUUCGGGGACAAAGUGACAGGUGGUGCAUGGUUGUCGUCAGCUCGUGUCGUGAGAUGUUGGGUUAAGUCCCGCAACGAGCGCAACCCUUAUUGUUAGUUGCCAUCAUUUAGUUGGGCACUCUAGCGAGACUGCCGGUGACAAACCGGAGGAAGGUGGGGAUGACGUCAAAUCAUCAUGCCCCUUAUGACCUGGGCUACACACGUGCUACAAUGGGAAGUACAACGAGUCGCUAGACCGCGAGGUCAUGCAAAUCUCUUAAAGCUUCUCUCAGUUCGGAUUGCAGGCUGCAACUCGCCUGCAUGAAGCCGGAAUCGCUAG
rnacentral:rRNA from 1 species